rnacentral:siRNA from 1 species
AGGCCCCGGAACUCAUCAUCGAGC